GUAUGAGCCCGCGAAACAGGCUCGCAGCAAAGUCCGCCUUAGACCGCGCUGCUAAAUUCUUCAAGGCUCGUGUUCGACAAUCCUGUUCAUUGGAGUGUUGGGCAUUAAACUAAAAAAUGAAACUAAACAUGUAGAGCUGAUGGCAGCGGACUGGCGGACGCGGGUUCGAUCCCCGCCGCCUCCACCA
rnacentral:tmRNA from 1 species